rnacentral:rRNA from 1 species
GACGAACGCUGGCGGCGUGCUUAACACAUGCAAGUCGAGCGAGGCUCCUCCUUCGGGAGGAUGCCCUAGCGGCGAACGGGUGAGUAACACGUGGGCAACCUGCCCCUAGCACUGGGAUAACCCCGGGAAACCGGAGCUAAUACCGGAUAUGACCACGGACGGCAUCAUCUCGUGGUGGAAAGAUUUAUCGGCUAGGGAUGGGCCCGCGGCCUAUCAGCUUGUUGGUGGGGAAUGGCCUACCAAGGCGACGACGGGUAGCCGGCCUGAGAGGGCGACCGGCCACACUGGGACUGAGACACGGCCCAGACUCCUACGGGAGGCAGCAGUGGGGAAUAUUGCGCAAUGGGCGAAAGCCUGACGCAGCGACGCCGCGUGAGGGAUGACGGCCUCGG